UACGAGAGGUACAAACGUUAUUCGGAAUCAUUGGGCGUAAAGGGCGCGUAGACGGCAUGUUAAGUCUGUUGUUAAAUCCUCCGGCUCAACCGGAGUCCUGCAACGGAAACUGGCGUGCUAGAGUGUGGGAGAGAGAAGUGGAAUUCUUGGAGUAGCGGUAAAAUGCGUAGAUCUCAAGAGGAACACCGAUGGCGAAGGCAGCUUCUUGGUCCACUACUGACGUUGAGGCGCGAAAGCGUGGGGAGCAAACAGG
rnacentral:rRNA from 1 species